AUUGAACGCUGGCGGCAUGCCUUACACAUGCAAGUCGAACGGCAGCACGGGUGCUUGCACCUGGUGGCGAGUGGCGAACGGGUGAGUAAUACAUCGGAACAUUUCCUGUAGUGGGGGAUAGCCCGGCGAAAGCCGGAUUAAUACCGCAUACGAUCUACGGAUGAAAGCGGGGGACCUGCGGGCCUCGCGCUAUAGGGUUGGCCGAUGGCUGAUUAGCUAGUUGGUGGGGUAAAGGCCUACCAAGGCGACGAUCAGUAGCUGGUCUGAGAGGAGGACCAGCCACACUGGGACUGAGACACGGCCCAGACUCCUACGGGAGGCAGCAGUGGGGAAUUUUGGACAAUGGGCGAAAGCCUGAUCCAGCAAUGCCGCGUGUGUGAAGAAGGCCUUCGGGUUGUAAAGAACUUUUGUCCGGAAAGAAAUCCUUGGCCCUAAUACGGUCGGGGGAUGACGGUACCGGAAGAAUAAGCACCGGCUAACUACGUG
rnacentral:rRNA from 1 species